UAGAACCAAAACUCGCAAAAAUCCCAAACAUAGGGUUUCAACUUGAGUAGGAUACAGAAAAGAGAAGGCAAUCCCUCACAACAAAACUAAGAGAACUCUUUCAGAGUUUCAUGAGAAAGCACACAGAUACACAUAGCAAAUCAGAAACAGCAGAGUGAAAAAUUGUAAGGAACAAGUUUAAGAGAAAGCUCAGAACUCAAAUAAGUUCAGAAGAGAAGAUAGGUGACAUAGAACUUAGGCAGCAGUAAAAACACAAGUUCAGAAACCCAAACGAAUCCUGUAAAGGCAAAUAAUCUCAAUAGGAGAAAUAAUAAAAGAACAUGCGAGGUAGACAUGUAAGCAUACUUGUAGAGAAACGAGUAGAAGCAAUAACAGAACAAAGAUAAGGAAACAUGUUUACUGAUGCCAAAUCAAGCAGAAACACAUAGGACAUGACAUAAACAGAUAGAUUCGCCUAAAGAAAGAAAGAAUAAGAAGAGUCUUUUUUAAGAUUUUGAAAACCCUAAAUUGAACCGACUAAUAAAAAUAGGGAAAAGUAUCCUGAGCUCGACUACAACACAGAUCUGUCACAUAUCUAAGAAAACAAAGGAAGAAAGAACCUCGAACAAGCCAGUUUAUAGGGUUUCACAGAAACCCUAGGAACGAGAAGGCUCUAGGAAAUAUCUCGUCUUGAACAAGUCUGGACCAUGGCUGGCCCUUUCAAAGCUCGAACAUGAUGGAACGGAGCCGGAGAAACCAAAAGAACUCAGAUCGGCGAAGGAUAUGAACAAGCUUUGUUGAAAUCGAGCCUCAAAACAUUAAACAACCACGAUUUAAGGUGAAGGGAAGAGAGCACAGGCCGUCCAUGGCCUAAGAAGCCAUGGACGCCGGCAGGCUUUGGUCGGAGAAGACGAUAGGGGUGACUAGGGUUUCGAGUGUUAGAGAGAGUUUUGAGAGAAAGGGGUUUGAGGG
rnacentral:lncRNA from 1 species